rnacentral:rRNA from 1 species
ACGCUAGCUACAGGCUUAACACAUGCAAGUCGAGGGGCAGCAUGGUCUUAGCUUGCUAAGGCCGAUGGCGACCGGCGCACGGGUGAGUAACACGUAUCCAACCUGCCGUCUACUCUUGGACAGCCUUCUGAAAGGAAGAUUAAUACAAGAUGGCAUCAUGAGUCCGCAUGCUCACAUGAUUAAAGGUAUUCCGGUAGACGAUGGGGAUGCGUUCCAUUAGAUAGUAGGCGGGGUAACGGCCCACCUAGUCUUCGAUGGAUAGGGGUUCUGAGAGGAAGGUCCCCCACAUUGGAACUGAGACACGGUCCAAACUCCUACGGGAGGCAGCAGUGAGGAAUAUUGGUCAAUGGGCGAGAGCCUGAACCAGCCAAGUAGCGUGAAGGAUGACUGCCCUAUGGGUUGUAAACUUCUUUUAUAAAGGAAUAAAGUCGGGUAUGGAUACCCGUUUGCAUGUACUUUAUGAAUAAGGAUCGGCUAACUCCGUGCCAGCAGCCGCGGUAAUACGGAGGAUCCGAGCGUUAUCCGGAUUUAUUGGGUUUAAAGGGAGCGUAGAUGGAUGUUUAAGUCAGUUGUGAAAGUUUGCGGCUCAACCGUAAAAUUGCAGUUGAUACUGGAUAUCUUGAGUGCAGUUGAGGCAGGCGGAAUUCGUGGUGUAGCGGUGAAAUGCUUAGAUAUCACGAAGAACUCCGAUUGCGAAGGCAGCCUGCUAAGCUGCAACUGACAUUGAGGCUCGAAAGUGUGGGUAUCAAACAGGAUUAGAUACCCUGGUAGUCCACACGGUAAACGAUGAAUACUCGCUGUUUGCGAUAUACAGCAAGCGGCCAAGCGAAAGCGUUAAGUAUUCCACCUGGGGAGUACGCCGGCAACGGUGAAACUCAAAGGAAUUGACGGGGGCCCGCACAAGCGGAGGAACAUGUGGUUUAAUUCGAUGAUACGCGAGGAACCUUACCCGGGCUUAAAUUGCAGAUGAAUUACGGUGAAAGCCGUAAGCCGCAAGGCAUCUGUGAAGGUGCUGCAUGGUUGUCGUCAGCUCGUGCCGUGAGGUGUCGGCUUAAGUGCCAUAACGAGCGCAACCCUUGUUGUCAGUUACUAACAGGUUCCGCUGAGGACUCUGACAAGACUGCCAUCGUAAGAUGUGAGGAAGGUGGGGAUGACGUCAAAUCAGCACGGCCCUUACGUCCGGGGCUACACACGUGUUACAAUGGGGGGUACAGAGGGCCGCUACCACGCGAGUGGAUGCCAAUCCCCAAAACCUCUCUCAGUUCGGACUGGAGUCUGCAACCCGACUCCACGAAGCUGGAUUCGCUAGUAAUCGCGCAUCAGCCACGGCGCGGUGAAUACGUUCCCGGGCCUUGUACACACCGCCCGUCAAGCCAUGGGAGCCGGGGGUACCUGAAGUGCGUAACCGCGAGGAGCGCCCUAGGGUAAAACUGGUGACUGGGGCUA